UACGGGGGGUGCAAGCGUUGUUCGGAAUUACUGGGCGUAAAGCGUAUGCAGGCGGAUCGUUAAGUCGGGGGUGAAAUCCCGAGGCUCAACCUCGGAACUGCCUUCGAUACUGGCGAUCUUCGAGUCCGGGAGAGGUGAGUGGAACUCCGAGUGUAGAGGUGAAAUUCGUAGAUAUUCGGAAGAACACCAGUGGCGAAGGCGGCAUCCUGGACCGGAAUUGACGCUGAGGCGCGAAAGCCAGGGGAGCAAACGGG
rnacentral:rRNA from 1 species